rnacentral:rRNA from 1 species
ACAACGAAGAGUUUGAUCCUGGCUCAGGACGAACGCUGGCGGCGUGCCUAACACAUGCAAGCCAAGGGGAAAGUUCUUUUCGGAGAGCAAUUACACUGGCGGACGGGUGAGUAACGCGUAGGCAACCUGCCCCUAUGCCUGGGAUAACCCUUAGAAAUGAGGGCUAAUACCGGAUGUGAUCGAGAGACUGCAUGAUUUUUCGAUUAAAGCUGGUUCGCUAGCACAUAGGGAUGGGCCUGCGUUCCAUUAGCUAGUUGGCGAGUUAACAGCUCACCAAG